AUAAAAAAAAAACUCAAAGCCAAAGUGAAAAUCUUGGAUGGCCAAGCUGAAGUUGGAAUGUGAGAAGUAUUGAAGAGAAACAGGCAUGAAAAGGUGCUUUGCAAAGAGCUGAAGGUUUUCAGGUAAAAAACAAUGUGGAAUGGCUUGCUAAAUCUAUUAUGAAACAAGAUGAAAUCAAAUCAGAUAGUAAAAAGAAGUUGGCUGAACGCAUCGAAGAAUAGGAAAAGAGAAAGGAAUAACAACAGAAAACGAGAAAAGCCAACAUUAAGAAAAAGAAAACUGAGAAGAAAGAACAUAAACUGAAUGAACGCCUCACACUUAACAGGGGAAAAGCUGGAAUUGUCUGAUAAGACAACGAAAAUCCAAUUUAAACGGAAGUUAGAGGGAAUGAAGAAGAAAUUAAAAAGAAAAAGUAAGAAGAAGAGGUCCUGAAUUGCCAAACAUGCUCGAGCCACCAAGGCAGUAUCUGUGUCAUCAACCUCUGGUCUUUCAGAGUUUGUUAAAACAGAAAUUCCUCAACCAAGACUAGCAAGUACACUGGCAACACCAAUUUUUAACAGUGAAGGCUGCCUAGUUUCCAGCAAAUGUGAUUUUGGAGAACUAUCUAAUUCCUCACCCAUUCUGAAAAAGACCACUUUAUAUCCAGAAGUGGCAACGAUUAAAAUGAAAGAAAAUAAAACUUAAACCAAAAAUGAAUAUCUUGGUAGGCCAAGCUGAAGCUGAGAAUGCAAGAAGCAUUGAAUAGAAACAGGCAUGAAAUGGUGCUCUGCAAAUAGCUGAAGGUUUUCAGGUAAAAGGCUAUGUGGAAUUGCUUGCCAAAUCAAUUAAUGAACGAGAUCAAAUCAGAAAGUAACAUAAAUUGCGCUGAACGAAUCGAAGAAAAGGAAAAGAGAAAGGAAUAACAACAGAAAAAGAGAAAAGCCAACAUUAAGAAAAAUAAAACUGAAAAGAAAGAACAUAAAGUGAAUAAACUAAAGAAAAAAGGCAAAUUUACCGUAUGAAAGACUGAUACUGACUCAUGGAUGAGCUAAACUCUUGUUCUUUCAUGUGCAGCCAUGUCGUGAUAGUUUUAUAGAAAAAUACACUGGCAUGCCUUCCAUGAUCGUGGAAAAUUUGAAGAAAAAAUAUCUUAGAUUCAUUUAAAAAGGU